rnacentral:rRNA from 1 species
CCUACGGGAGGCUGCAGUGAGGAAUAUUGGUCAAUGGGCGAGAGCCUGAACCAGCCAAGUCGCGUGAGGGAUGACUGUCCUCCGGUUUGUAAACUUCUUUUGUAAGGGAGUAAGGUCACUCACGUGUGCAUUUUUGAAUGUACUUUAUGAAUAAGGAUCGGCUAACUCCGUGCCAGCAGCCGCGGUAAUACGGUGGGGCCGAGCGUUAUACGGAUUUAUUGGGCUUAAAGGGUACGUAGGUGGGUUGUUAAGUCAGUGGUGAAAUGCUGCGGCUCAACCCCAGAACUGCCAUUGAUACUGGCAGCCUUGAGUACAGGUGAGGAUAGCGGAAUACCCGGUGUAGAGGUGAAAUCCGUAGAUAUCUGGAAGAACACCGGUGGCGAAGGCGGCUAUCUGGCCCAUAACUGACGCUGAGGCUCGAAAGCGUGGGUAUCAAACAGGAUUAGAUACCCUUGUAGUC